CUGAGUGCCUGCCUGGUGACCCUUUGGGGGCUAGGAGAGCCACCAGAGCACACUCUCCGGUACCUGGUGCUCCACCUAGCCUCCCUGCAGCUGGGACUGCUGUUAAACGGGGUCUGCAGCCUGGCUGAGGAGCUGCGCCACAUCCACUCCAGGUACUGGGGCAGCUACUGGAGGACUGUGCGGGCCUGCCUGGGCUGCCCCCUCCGCCGUGGGGCCCUGUUGCUGCUGUCCAUCUAUUUCUACUACUCCCUCCCAAAUGCGGUCGGCCCGCCCUUCACUUGGAUGCUUGCCCUCCUGGGCCUCUCGCAGGCACUGAACAUCCUCCUGGGCCUCAAGGGCCUGGCCCCAGCUGAGAUCUCUGCAGUCUGUGAAAAAGGGAAUUUCAACGUGGCCCAUGGGCUGGCAUGGUCAUAUUACAUCGGAUAUCUGCGGCUGAUCCUGCCAGAGCUCCAGGCCCGGAUUCGAACUUACAAUCAGCAUUACAACAACCUGCUACGGGGUGCAGUGAGCCAGCGGCUGUAUAUUCUCCUCCCAUUGGACUGUGGGGUGCCUGAUAACCUGAGUAUGGCUGACCCCAACAUUCGCUUCCUGGAUAAACUGCCCCAGCAGACCGCUGACCGUGCUGGCAUCAAGGAUCGGGUUUACAGCAACAGCAUCUAUGAGCUUCUGGAGAACGGGCAGCGGAACCUGCAGAUGACAGCAGCUUCUCGCUGUCCCAGGAGGUUCUCCGGCACCUGCGGCAGGAGGAAAAGGAAGAGGUUACAGUGGGCAGCUUGAAGACCUCAGCGGUGCCCAGUACCUCCACGAUGUCCCAAGAGCCUGAGCUCCUCAUCAGUGG
rnacentral:sRNA from 1 species